AGUGUCAACGAUUAAAAGGGAAUCAGGUGAGAAUCCUGGACAGACCCGCUGCUGUAAGUUCCGUAAGUGUCCUUGAAGGACUUGGCCACUGGAGAUAUGACUCUGGGAAGGCAUUCAAGGAUGGAAUAAGUCAGAAGACCUACCAUGGACGGA
rnacentral:ncRNA from 1 species